AUGGCUUUCCCCAACUCAAGUUUGAGCCCCCCGCAGGGUCUUUGUGUUUCUUCUCCAGCACCAGGAGCUGUGCCUACACGGAGAGGGCCUCAGGGCCUCCACAGACAGCUGCUGCCAGCAAAAGGUGGAGUCGGGCAGCGAGCAGCUCUGCCCAGGAGGCCGAGGGGUGCAGGCUGCUCUGCCCCAGUGGCCCAGCUUGGCCUGGGCUUCCUCGAGGAACAGAUGUCCUCAUUGAACUGGGUUCCCUUCCCAGGCAGAGACGCCAGGACUCCAGUUGGCCUCAUUCCUGUUCCCGAGAGGAAGUAUCCAUCCCCAGGCAGGAAGCGGCCUGGCUCCCAGGGAAAGUCACACACAGCACUUUCUCUGCUCCUAGCUUCGGAUGACCUUGGGGCAGCGGAUGGCCAUGCCGGCCUCCACUCGGCCACUGCCACUGGAGCAAGGAGGAAGGUGGGCUGGGAAGCCCCGCACAGCUCUUUGGCCUGUUGCCUCAUGGGAGCCUCACAGCCUUGCUGCAUGCGGCGGGGCGUGGAUCAGCCUCACCUGGCUGGAGUCCGUUCUUCUCGCUUCUCCGCAUUGUGCAGACGAGCAGACAGAGGCUGCGUGAGGGGCAGAGCCUGCCUGGGUGAGGAGACGGAGGCGCAGAGACGGACGCGGGCUGGCCAAGUCUCACCGCCUAGAAGCAUGGCGGGCCGAAGCAGAAAAGAUGAAGAGGAGGAGGUGACUUGCUCACAGCCACACUAUUGGGACUCUAUGCUCUUGCUAGGGAGCCAGGAAGUUGGACAUGUGAGUGUAGGGGUGCAGUGGGGGGUAGGAUAG
rnacentral:lncRNA from 1 species